GCGGGGCUGCUCUGGAAACACUGAAGGACCGGCCCGCAGUGCCUCUGCCAGCAGAGGGACCUAUCAAAACAAACUAAAAACAAAACAAAAAGAGAAAUGUUUCCCCGUUUGCAUUUGAACAUGCAAGAAGGGGCAGGAAAGGAGAAAGGGAAAAAGAAAAGACAAA